UGGGGAAUAUUGCACAAUGGGCGCAAGCCUGAUGCAGCCAUGCCGCGUGUGUGAAGAAGGCCUUCGGGUUGUAAAGCACUUUCAGCGAGGAGGAAGGGUUCAGUGUUAAUAGCACUGUUCAUUGACGUUACUCGCAGAAGAAGCACCGGCUAACUCCGUGCCAGCAGCCGCGGUAAUACGGAGGGUGCAAGCGUUAAUCGGAAUUACUGGGCGUAAAGCGCACGCAGGCGGUUUGUUAAGUCAGAUGUGAAAUCCCCGCGCUUAACGUGGGAACUGCAUUUGAAACUGGCAAGCUAGAGUCUUGUAGAGGGGGGUAGAAUUCCCAGGUGUAGCGGUGAAAUGCGUAGAGAUCUGGAGGAAUACCGGUGGCGAAGGCGGCCCCCUGGACAAAAG
rnacentral:rRNA from 1 species